AUUGAACGCUGGCGGCAUGCCUUACACAUGCAAGUCGAACGGUAACAGGUCUUCGGAUGCUGACGAGUGGCGAACGGGUGAGUAAUACAUCGGAACGUGCCUAGUAGUGGGGGAUAACUACUCGAAAGAGUGGCUAAUACCGCAUGAGAUCUACGGAUGAAAGCAGGGGAUCGCAAGACCUUGUGCUACUAGAGCGGCCGAUGGCAGAUUAGGUAGUUGGUGGGAUAAAAGCUUACCAAGCCGACGAUCUGUAGCUGGUCUGAGAGGACGAUCAGCCACCAUGGGACUGGGACACGGCCCAGACUCCUACGGGAGGCAGCAGUGGGGAAUUUUGGACAAUGGGCGCAAGCCUGAUCCAGCAAUGCCGCGUGCAGGAUGAAGGCCUUCGGGUUGUAAACUGCUUUUGUACGGAACGAAAAGCCCUGGGUUAAUACCCUGGGGUCAUGACGGUACCGUAAGAAUAAGCACCGGCUAACUACGUGCCAGCCGCCGCCGUAAUAC
rnacentral:rRNA from 1 species